GAUGAAGAACGUAGCGAAAUGCGAUAAGUAAUGUGAAUUGCAGAAUUCAGUGAAUCAUCGAAUCUUUGAACGCACAUUGCGCCCGCCAGUAUUCUGGCGGGCAUGCCUGUUCGAGCGUCAUUUCAACCCUCAAGCCCAGCUUGGUGUUGGGGAUCGGCACAGGCGCCCUCGGGCGCCCGCCGGCCCCUAAAUCUAGUGGCGGACCCGUCGUGGCCUCCUCUGCGAAGUAGUGAUAUUCCGCAUCGGAGAGCGAUGAGCCCCUGCCGUUAAACCCCCAACUUUCCAAGGUUGACCUCAGAUCAGGUAGGAAUACCCGCUGAACUUAAGCAUAUCAAUAAGCGGAGGA
rnacentral:misc_RNA from 1 species